rnacentral:lncRNA from 1 species
CUUCUUAAGUCCAGGGAAGGGAGGGGACGGCGGGGCCCCAGUGUCCCUCCCCGCUGCCUCCCCCCACCCCGUUCCCCUUCUGGACGGGCGCCGUGGCUCCGGCACCCACUGCUGGGGAACCUGCGGAGUGGGCGGGGAGCGCGACUGAAAGUUCCAAGUUCACAGAAGUCCCGCGCGCGGCCCACCGCGUCUCGGGAUUUCGGGGGGGGGGUGUGUGGGGGGCCAGGUAAGCGGUUCGCGCACGUCAGGACCAGCCCCGCACCCUCUGGCAGCCUGCGCGGCGCGCUGCCCCGCCCUCGGUCACACGAACGCGCCUUCUCACCCGCGCGCACACCCGCAGCCGAGCACACGCGUCCGCGUGCACGGCCGCUCGUGUCCUCCAUCCUCGAGCGACCACCAGGAUGUGCCUCGGGCCUCGCCGCCGCCGCCGCUGCCGCUGUGCCCGCGACAGUGCCCCUAGCCCCAGUAUGUCUCUUUUCAUCUCCUAAUUUUAAUAUUUUUGUCCUCGCAAGUGGCCCUGUGUGGUGCGAAGCUUGGACACGAUAGUCUCCCCACACUUCCCCUGGUCGUCGCUUGUGGCGGCUGCGGCCGGAGGUGGAGGGCAGGUGAUGACCAGCUAGUCCCCCACGCCAGGCUGCCGCACGCUCCCCGCAGGGUUAGAAGCUGCUCCCUGGCUGGUGGGAUCCCCUUCUCUUCCAAAGACUCAAGCCUGGCACCGCUCCCCUGCUCUCCGCCGGCUGCUUUUCGGUUCUAGGCUCUGGUUCUCAGCCCGAGUUUUGCUGCCCUCCUCUAGUUGUGUGAAUUCCACGAAGCAACAGCUUUGGGCUCCAGGCAGAGCGCAGGAGAAUCAUGCAGAGGAAGGAAGCACACAGGUUGGAGUCGCCUCCAAACAGCCCCAAGAGCCACUUAAAAAAAUUCUUUAAGGUGUGGUCGUGGGGAGGAUCUUUCGAGUCCCUCCAAUGAAGGCACAUCUGAGCCCGGGCCCUCCGUGUGCACGAAACAUGCCUUCAGAUUGCAGAAGAG